ACAAAUGAUGACUGAACUUUUUCCCUCUUGACCGAUGAACUGUGUUAAUCCACCUUCACUAAGCCAGUUUGUGUGUCUGAUAAGCAGU
ensembl:snoRNA